rnacentral:rRNA from 1 species
CCUACGGGCGGCAGCAGUGGGGGAUAUUGCACAAUGGGGGAAACCCUGAUGCAGCGACGCCGCGUGGGUGAAGAAGUAUUUCGGUAUGUAAAGCCCUAUCAGCAGGGAAGAAAGAAGACGGUACCUGACUAAGAAGCCCCGGCUAACUACGUGCCAGCAGCCGCGGUAAUACGUAGGGGGCGAGCGUUAUCCGGAUUCACUGGGUGUAAAGGGAGCGUAGACGGCCGUGCAAGCCAGGAGUGAAAGCCCGGGGCCCAACCCCGGGACUGCUCUUGGAACUGUGCGGCUGGAGUGCGGGAGGGGCAGGCGGAAGUCCUGGUGUAGCGGUGAAAUGCGUAGAUAUCAGGAGGAACACCGGCGGCGAAGGCGGCCUGCUGGACCGCGACUGACGUUGAGGCUCGAAAGCGUGGGGAGCGAACAGGAUUAGAUACCCCUGUAGUC